rnacentral:rRNA from 1 species
AUACGGAGGAUGCAAGCGUUAUCCGGAUUCAUUGGGUUUAAAGGGUGCGCAGGCGGGCUUUUAAGUCAGUGGUGAAAAGCUGCCGCUUAACGGUAGUCUUGCCAUUGAUACUGAGAGUCUUGAGUUUGGAUGAGGUAGGCGGAAUGUGCAGUGUAGCGGUGAAAUGCAUAGAGAUUGCACAGAACACCGAUUGCGGAGGCAGCUUACUAAUCCACGACUGACGCUGAGGCACGAAAGCGUGGGGAGCGAACAGGAUUAGAUACCCUGGUAGUCCACGCUGUAAACGAUGUUCACUCGCUGUUUGCGAUAUACAGUAAGCGGCUUAGCGAAAGCAUUAAGUGAACCACCUGGGGAGUACGAUCGCAAGGUUGAA